CUAACAUAAAAAUCUUUUCUGUCUCAUUACAACACUCUGACACACAACCCUCUCAGAUUAACGGAAGUUGGUGGAGGCCCAGCUCUCCCCGGGGAGCCCUUUCUCUCUGCCCUUUCACUAAUUACCACUGUUAUAACCACAGAGACCUCAGGGGGGCACUGCUUUUAGCUUUCUUACUUGGGUGAAUACAAGGCAAUUAGAAUAUUAAACACGUUCUGUGAAGUCUGGGGGCUAUCCAUCAGGGAGCAGCGCGCGCAAUCGGUGACUCACAAGCCGGGGGCGCAUCGGGGUCUUGGGGAGAUCUGAGUUCUAACGUUCAGUGAGAAUAUCCAAGCUCAUUUCCAGUCAGCUCCUCAGGAGAGCGGAUGCUGGUGCUGUCAGCCUGGCUGCGGGCUGAAGACCGACCAGGAAAAACACCGCGUUAAGUUCAUGUUUCGCAAACUUGCUAAUCAUAAGAACCACCUGGGGUAUUUACUGAAAAUAAAAAAUAAAAUUCUAAGCCUUUUUCCUAAAAAGUAUUAUUUAGCACACGUGAAAUUAGAAGUGGUAAUCUAUAUUUACAAGAAGAACUCCCAGGCGAUUAUGAUAAAGCAAGUUUGGAAAACUCUGACUUGACUAACUUGACUCAGAGGAUUCUGGCUCCCCUGAGCAGGUAUGCACCGCGAGUCUCCUAGAGUGCUGCGCUCAGGGUGAGGUCAGGGGACCUGGCGCACGGGCAUCACACAGAAGAAUUGUGGAAACUCAGAAUCUGGAACCCAACCUCAAACCAGUGAAUCAGAAUCUGUAUUUUACUAAAAUCACCAAGUUAUUAAUAGGUUCGUUAAAGUUUGAGGUUAGAGAGCCUCCUGCCCAGCUAAAGAAACCAGUCUCUGCUCAGCCCCAGGCAGCUUUAAUCUGGAAGAGGUCAUCUUUCCUCCUCCACGGGAGAGCAUUUCUGGAGUCCUCUUGGCCCCUCCUCUACAGGGAUGGACCGAACAAGCUUCUCAUAUCAUUUGCCUCUUCAUCUUGGAUUGGCUUCUUCUAACCCAACCCCCAAACCAGCAAAGCUGAGACUCAUCAUUGACCCACUUUCUUGGAUGAUAUUUCUACUGGAUCACCAACACCUCUGAGUAGAGAAUACAAUGUGGACCAGUGAGAAGCUAUGGAGGGAUAUAUUCCAGCUCAAUAUUAGAAACAACCAGACAAAGAAUCAUAAUUGUCCAUAGAUGGCAAAAGGCAGAUAUCAAAAAGGAACUGUGAGUUGUGCUUCAAAGAACAUGCUGUAAGACUAUCUGACAGAAUGCUGAAGAAAAGAUUCCAGAACAUAAUAACUUCUCACAGCACUAUGUUCUGUGGAACACAAUUUAGGAAAUGAAAAUACAUAAGGUCCAGUCUCGUUUUUCUAAGUAGAGACACAUUAUCAAUGGAGGAUGAUGUUAUGGCCUGAAUGUUUCUGUCCCCUCAAAAUUCAUACGUGGAAGCCUUCAUCCCCACUGCAAUGGCCCUUACCAAGAAUGGACCCAGCCACAACUGUGAAAAAUAAAUUUCCGUAAUUUAAGCCACCCAAUCUAUGGCAUUUUGUUAGAGCAGCCUGAUCUGACUAACACAGAUAGUGAAAAGAAAGAAUUAGAUAAAUUAUGAGUUUUGAGGGGCUGGCCCCAUGGCCGAGUGGUUAAGUUUGCGCGCUCCGCUGCAGGCGGCCCAGUGUUUCGUUGGUUCGAAUCCCGGGCGCGCGGACAUCGCACUGCUCAUCAGACCACGCUGAGGCAGCGUCCCACAUGCCACAACUAGAAGGACCCACAACAAAGAAUAUACAACUAUGUACCGGGGUCUUUGGGGAGAAAAAGGGG
rnacentral:lncRNA from 1 species